rnacentral:lncRNA from 1 species
AAUGAUAUUGUUCUUCUGGAUAUGGUGAAAGAAAUCCACGCAUGUUGGUAUAUCGUGAAUCAAGCAAAUAAUAUUAUAAAACUAUAAAUUUUUCCUAUUAUUUUAAUUAAUUUCAUUUUCUUUUCAUUUCCGCUUACAGCCCCUCACCUCACUUCUCCUUCUCUGUCCACGAUGUCCCUCCCACAUUUCCACCGUAUUUCACUAGUCAGCCCCACCUUCUUAGUUGUCCUCCAUCCUACUCAUGUCGCAUCAAGCUUGGAAGCAGCUAUCAUAGCUGAAAAACUAAAUAAAAAAAAAAAGGGGGGGGAAUAGUAGGCUGCCUUCUUCCUGGAGCUGCUAUAUUCUUAGGAGGCCGUAUUAGCUUCCCCAAGCUCCAAAUAGUCCAUUUUAGGCCCCAAUUGCAGCUACAAUCGCCGAAAAUCAAGUGGUGGAGCUUCAUUGGAGCAGCCCCUUGCGAGCCAUUUUAGGCGAAAAUAAUUGCAUUUUCAGACUUCUCGCAUCGAUAGCUUCAAGUGGAUGGCCUCAGAUUGCAUUUUCAGCGACGUUGAAUUUUUCGGCCGUCACGGGUGGCGGCGCCUCAAUUAGCAUGCCGAGAGGCAGAAUCUUUGCCGCUUUAUUUCUAAUUUUGGUGGUAUUAGUUUGCUUAAAUUCGUCAUGAACAAUUAGCUAUGAAUUUUUAAUUUGAUUUGUGGGAUUAAAAUUAGAAUAUUUAAUCUGGUUGAAUUAUCGUUAAAUUGCGAGUUGUAGGAUGAUUAUAGAACCGAUAAAUUAUUUAAAUUUUGAUAAUGUAUGGUGGAGGAUUAUUUCGAAUAUCGAUAAAUUAAUUAUUGGAAUUGUAAGACUACGAUAAAUUAAAUAAA